rnacentral:rRNA from 1 species
GCAAGUCGAACGGUAACGCAAAGUGCUUGCACUUUGGCGACGAGUGGCGCACGGGUGAGUAAUAUAUAGUUAAUGUACCUUCAAGACCGGGAUAGCCAUUGGAAACGAUGAUUAAUACCGGAUACACCUUCAUACCAUAAGAUAUGAAGGGAAAUGUUUUUUCGCUUGAAGAUCAGACUAUAUCCCAUCAGUUUGUUGGUGAGGUAAGAGCUCACCAAGACUAUGACGGGUAGCGGGUUUGAGAGGAUGAUCCGCCACACUGGUACUGAGACACGGACCAGACUCCUACGGGAGGCAGCAGUGAGGAAUAUUGCACAAUGGAGGAAACUCUGAUGCAGCAACGCCGCGUGGAGGAUGACGCAUUUCGGUGUGUAAACUCCUUUUAUAUGUCAAGAAAAUGACGGUAGCAUAUGAAUAAGCACCGGCUAACUCCGUGCCA